GACGAACCGUGCGAACGUUGUUCGGAAUCACUGGGCUUAAAGGGCGCGUAGGCGGGCUCAAAAGUCAGGGGUGAAAUCCCACGGCUCAACCCGUGGAAGUGCCUUUGAUACUGUGAGUCUCGAGGGAGGUAGGGGCGUGCGGAACUUCCGGUGGAGCGGUGAAAUGCGUAGAUAUCGGAAGGAACACCGGUGGCGAAAGCGGCGCGCUGG
rnacentral:rRNA from 1 species